UACGUAGGGGGCUAGCGUUGUCCGGAAUCAUUGGGCGUAAAGAGCGUGUAGGCGGUCCGGUAAGUCCGCUGUGAAAGUCGGGGGCUCAACCCUCGAAUGCCGGUGGAUACUGCGGGGCUAGAGUGCAGAAGGGGCAACUGGAAUUCUCGGUGUAGCGGUGAAAUGCGUAGAUAUCGAGAGGAACACCUGCGGCGAAGGCGGGUUGCUGGGCUGACACUGACGCUGAAGUGCGAAAGCUAGGGGAGCGAACGGG
rnacentral:rRNA from 1 species